GCCCUCAGUCGCGUCCUGCAGAAAAUGGCGUGAGGGUGCACGCUCCUUUGUAACUGCUGACCCUCCUAAACCUGAUGUCAACUGCAGCAUCACCUGAGAUAGUUUCGUUUUGACUGCUUAUCUCCAGGAUAAUGUCAGCGGUAACUUUACAGGAUCAUUUACAUAAUUUUGGGCAAGUAAUUAAAAGUUUUAAGGAAAGGUGAGGUAAGUUUUUUGCAAAUGUUACUUGCCAUGUAGUGAACCCCAAUGUAUAUUGAUUUUCUGGUGUAUAUUAAACUUAAUUUAUCAGCUUAAUUCCAUAACUGGAAGUUUGAAUAUUGUACUAUGUAUAACACAAUUGGAAUUUUGUACCUAAUAUACAGUUGUGCUGGGUUGCCCUCAUCCCAAGCAUUGGCGAAUUAUGAGUACAUGCAAUUGUUGCAAUUAUAUAUACUAUAUAAAAUUUGUUCAUAUUUAUUCAUUAAUUAUGUUGAGUUUUAAGUGAGCAUUUGUUCUGUUUGUGAUAUUUUAUUAAAUGGAGUUGUGCAACUCCUCACAUCUUGGAACCAGUGGGUAACUGCCCUAUUUUGGUCUUAGGUAAUAUUCCAUACACUAGUUAAGGGCCUUCCGUCCUGGCAACUCUAGGGGUCUGCCUCCCUGGGAACUCCAGGGCCUGUCGCCCUGGCAACACCAGGGCCUGCCUGUCCUGGGAACUCCAGGGCGGGCCUUGCCUGCCCGCCCUGGCAACACCAGGGCCUGGCCUGCCCGCCCUGGCAACUCCAGGGCCUGGCCUGCCCGCCCUGGCAACUCCAGGGCCUGGCCUGCCUGCCCUGGCAACACCAGGGCCUGGCCUGCCUGCCCUGGCAACACCAGGGCCUGGCCUGCCUGCCCUGGCAACACCAGGGCCUGGUCUGCCUGCCCUGCCUACACCAGGGCCUGCCCACCCUGACCUAAUUCACCUUGUAAUUAAAAUGUUUUACAGUACUUUAUCCAAAUUAUUUGAAUGGUUUUUCAGUUUUACUUGUAUAAAAAAAUCUGAAUUAUAUUUCUGAUUAUUUUUUCUUGUACUACCAAAUAUUUUAUUUGCAACUCGAAUGUUGUUUGUUCAGAUAAAAAAAAAAUAGCAAUAUUUUCACCAGUUUUUCAGCCAGUUUGUUGUCAGUUUAAUAAUUGUCCCUCAGUCCAAAAAUGUUAUAUUUUCAACCUGACUGUGGUUAAAUAUAUGGUAUAGCCUUAUUUUUUUAGUGAAUGUUUUCAUUUCGAAAAUUCUUUUUCAGAUAAUUUUUUGUUUUCAUUAUAAUGUUUUUCAGUUUUAAUAUUUUUUUCAGCAUGUUUUUUUCUUGUAAUGUUUUUCAGAUAAAUUCUAAAAAAAAUUUCAGCCUAAUCAUUUUUUCAGCUAAUAUUUUAAAUCUUAUUAAUUUUUUCAA